GUCCACGCCCUAAACUAUGUCAACUGGUUGUCGGGGAAGCAAUUCCUUGGUAACGAAGCUAACGCGUGAAGUUGACCGCCUGGGGAGUACGGCCGCAAUGUUAAAACUCAAAGGAAUUGACGGGGACCCGCACAAGCGGUGGAUUAUGUGGAUUAAUUCGAUGCAACGCGAAAAACCUUACCUACCCUUGACAUGUACGGAACCUCGCAGAGAUGUGAGGGUGCCCGAAAGGGAACCGUAACACAGGUGCUGCAUGGCUGUCGU
rnacentral:rRNA from 1 species